rnacentral:tRNA from 1 species
UAUAUGUAAGUGUUGAUGAGCACGCUAGGUUUUGAUCCUAGAAGGGAAGGUUCAGCUCCUUCACUUGUAA